GACAGAGGUGGCAAGCGUUGUCCGGAUUUACUGGGCGUAAAGGGUGCGUAGGCGGGUCUUUAAGUCAGGGGUGAAAUCCUGGAGCUCAACUCCAGAACUGCCUUUGAUACUGAGGAUCUUGAGUCCGGGAGAGGUGAGUGGAACUGCGAGUGUAGAGGUGAAAUUCGUAGAUAUUCGCAAGAACACCAGUGGCGAAGGCGGCUCACUGGCCCGGUACUGACGCUGAGGCACGAAAGCGUGGGGAGCAAACAGG
rnacentral:rRNA from 1 species